rnacentral:rRNA from 1 species
GACGGAGGGUGCUAGCGUUGCUCGGAAUGACUGGGCGUAAAGGGCGCGUAGGCGGCCGCUUGCGUCGGAUGUGAAAGCCCGGGGCUCAACCCCGGAACGGCAUCCGAUACGGGGCGGCUCGAGACCGAGAGAGGUGAGUGGAAUACCCAGUGUAGAGGUGAAAUUCGUAGAUAUUGGGUGGAACACCGGUGGCGAAAGCGGCUCACUGGCUCGGUUCUGACGCUGAGGCGCGAAAGCGUGGGGAGCAAACAGG